rnacentral:lncRNA from 1 species
GGGAACUGCGCGCGACGACGGCGACAGUGCGGGGGGCUGCACGUUACAGAUGAGGGAGCAACACUUGAUGGCCUUCUCGUCCCGAGGCACCAGCCAGCCCGACCCCGCAACUGCCGCGGCGGGCGGGCGCGGAACUGCGGGGCAGUUUGGGGAGACGACGGCGCAGUGGCUUGGGUAGUGGGGCAAGGGGUGGCGGGCGACGGCGGCCGCAACCCCGCAAAGGGACGUUCACGGCGAAGGACGAGCUGAACUGCGGGUCAUUUUGGGAGGCUUGACACAGGCGGGUAAAGGACGAAGGACACGGUGACUCGGGGCUGCGUUCCUGUGGACGUGCCUGGCGCGGCGAGCAUCCACUUCUCCCUGGCCCGCAUAACUAAAACGCAAUCUCUCAAAAUUCUGUUUAAAGAGACCUCUUUAGGAAAGGAGACUGGGGUGCCUGCAGCAAUCCAGGCGAUAUUUUUUAUUCUGUUAGAGACACUUUCUGAAUUAUCUUUUUUUACUCAGAGGAACUUUAAUUUCAUUAUUUUCUGACCCUCCUCUCCUUCCUAUUUCGAAUUGUUUUUCUUGCUCCUUCAGUCUGUUUUCGAAAAACACUCUUGGAUGCGAGUUUCAAACAAAAUCACAAAACACCUCUAGUCUUUCAUUAAAAUAAUACCUACUUGAAAGAUGUAGCCCAGCCACUAAAGGACCUAUUUUUCCCUUCCAGGAAGCCGAAGAGUCCAACCUGCUCAAAAAAAAAAAAAAAAAAAAAAAAUCUUCGGGUCAAAAACUGUUCAAACUACUCUUUGAGAGCUCCUUUUGGGGUACGAUAAAGGAAAUGUAAAAACUGUAUAUCUGCUGUAUGGCUAUGGAGACUCAAAAUCCUCAGAUUUGGUUACUUACAUUAGCCAGUUUUUGGUUGUGUAGAUUAUAACAAGGAAAUACCCCGUUUCUAAAUAUAGAAAUUGAAAGAAUUUUUGUAUGACCAGUUAAAUUUCAAAAAUAGCUACGUAGAGUGCACACCAAUUUCUUAAGGGCCCAUAUGUUUGAAUAUUUUAAACAAGAUUUAUACAUUAGAUGGUCCAAACAAUUGCUUUAAUUCCUCACACUUCUCAUGUGUAAAUACAGAAUUUAGAGAAGUCACCAUGUUACUUUCAUUUUCAAUCCUGCAAAUGUGUCAGUGUACACUUAUGUAAGGAUUCUUUGGUUUUGACACAUUCAUAUCCUAGAAGACAUAAAUAUUUUUACUAAUGCAGACUUUUGACAACCUUAUUCAUAUGAAAAUGUAGCUUUUCCAUUUUCACCUUCUAAAGUUUUGUCCUCCCACACAGAGCUAAGUGGAAAACAGUAACUGCUAACUACAUUCGGACUACAUAAAACAUCAUCUGAGUUGUGGGCCUGAAUUACCUAGGUAUUUGCCACUUCACAUUUACAUUUGUGUAAAUAUGACUAGAAUGCCAGGUCAAAUACCUUGUUUGGUAAAGCACAUUACAAUUUGACUCAAUGAAUAGCUAUGGAAGUUUUCUUUAUUGAUUACUUAAUGUGUAACAAUAAUUGGCAUCUUUUUCACACAUUACAAAAAAUUAUACUUGGCUCAGUAUGCAACCUUUUAAGCAUAGCCAUAUUAUUUAACAAAAGAGGGGAAAACCUAUUCUACCCAACACAGCAUUUACAAAUGCACAAAACAUGCCACUUUGGCUUGUAUAUUGUCUAGAUUAAAAAAAAUCUUUUAACAUAAAUAAGUUAGUAUAAUUUUUCAGUGUUUUUACAGAGUUAUGUACACAGGUACACUUCAAAUGGUUUUUCCAUACACAGGCAAUGAAAUACUGUUUAAAGAUGUAGUAUCCAUUUCACUUAUCCUACAAGUGUGCUUUUCUCUACAUGAACCUUCCUUGAAAAAUAACACUUUCCUGUGGAUAAAUGGACAGAGUAAGCUUUAAAUUAAAAAAUAUUUCAUUUUUUAAUGUGAAGUUACUUACAGAUCUUUAAAAAUAUCGAGGGAUUUAGAAUUAUUUUGACUGUGUUUACACAGCCCGAAGUGAAAAGAAAAUGAGAAAAUUUUGUCA